UACGGAGGAUGCAAGCGUUAUCCGGAAUGAUUGGGCGUAAAGCGUCCGCAGGUGGCUAUGUAAGUCUGCUGUUAAAGAGUGAGGCUCAACCUCAUAAGAGCAGUGGAAACUACAUGGCUAGAGUGCGUUCGGGGCAGAGGGAAUUCCUGGUGUAGCGGUGAAAUGCGUAGAUAUCAGGAAGAACACCGGUGGCGAAAGCGCUCUGCUAGGCCGCAACUGACACUGAGGGACGAAAGCUAGGGGAGCGAAUGGG
rnacentral:rRNA from 1 species